ensembl:lncRNA
GUUUUUAAUGUAAAUUAAUCAUUGACCCAUAUUCAUACAUCAUCAAAUUUUAAACUUUCUCAGGGGGAUAAGUCGUCUACUUUUGUCUGCGGUUCCCUGGUGGCAGUCUAGCCAGCAUUCCCAUCAUACUCCUGGCACCUCUCUAAAGUACAUACUACGUUGCGCCGACUGCGGAAGCUGACUUCGCUGGAUGUGGACUGCACCGUUCUGGACUGUGAGGAUGGAGUUGCCCUCAACAAGAAGGAUGCAGCUCGGAAAACUAUCCCAAAGAUGUUGGCUGAGCUUGAUUAGGCCAUGCCUAAAAAAGAUUUAAAAGCACCAUAAAAAAGUUACCCCCCCCCCCCACCCAAGUCUUCCUUAACCAUGACAACCAUGACAGAGUAAAAGCAUCAAUGAAAAGCAUCAAAAUUCAAAAUGAAAUUUUCAAUUGUACAAAUCUGUUCAAAAGUGUAGUAUGAUUUUUUUAAGUAAUUAUUCAGCAAGGAUGCAAUAAAUUGAUCAAAAGUAAAGACA